rnacentral:lncRNA from 1 species
AAGAGAGAAAGAGAAAGAAAGAAAGAAAAGAAAGAAACAUUUUUGUCCAAAAACAUGUCAUCAAUUUCAUAUGCUUUAACCCAAUAUCAUAACAGUUAAAUAACAGCCACCCUCUCCCCACACUCCCUCAUGCCUGUUCUGGGGCCAUUCCUCUGAGGCUGUCAGGACAGUAAAAGAGAAAAGCUUUAGACCUAGGCAGAGCUGGGAUUAACUCCUAGCUCCAUUCCUUCCCAGCUGUAUGACCUCAGGCAACUGGUAUGAUCUAUCUAAGCCUAGGUUUCCUCAUAAGUGAAAUUCAUGUAAAUACCAAGGACUGGUGUGAGGAUUAGAGAGGAUGUAUGUUCAGGCCAGGCUAGUGUUUACUGUGUUUGCAAAGUAUGAGGGACAGGCACUGGGCAUCCUCCCUCUGAGGAAGCAGCCACCAAAAUGUCACCUGCACACACCUUGGCAGCAAGUGCUCCUGGUGCCCUGACCUGAACCAAAGGCACCGUGUCAGGGGCUGUGUUCACCUGUCAAACAUCCAGCCAGCAGCACUGGUAUCACUUUCUCUGGCCACUAGAGCCCACUCUCCUCACACUCAGGGCAGGCCAGAAGUGGUAGGAAAUUAACACACUCUCCCCACCAAGAGCAGCCCUCAUCCAAUAGCUAAGUGGAAUCGGUGUCUAUGCGCUCCAGCCUUCUCCCCUGGGUGGGGUGAUACUGAGGUGCGUGUUCUGCACUGCCUCCGAGAACUGCCCAGUGGGGUGAAGCUCCAGGAACUCACAGCAGCUUCUCUGUGGGUGAUACACCUGUUAUUGGCAGCCUUCCCUUCCUCGGUAUUUCCUGGAGCCAUCUCUUUAUUUUAUUUUAUUUUAUUUAUUUUUUUUUUUUUAAGAUGGAGUCCUGCUCUGUCGCCCAGGCUGGAGUGCAGUGAUGCAAUCAUAUCUCACUGCAACCUCUACCUCCCAGGUUAAAGCAAUUCUCCUUCCUCAGCCUCCCAAGUAGCUGAGAUUACAGUUGCCUGCCACCAUGCAUGGCUAAUUUUUUUGUAUUUUUAGUAGAGACGGGGUUUCACCAAGUUCGACAGGCUGGUCUCAAACUCCUGAGAUCAGGUGAUCCACCAGCCUCGGCCUCCCAAAGUUCUGGGAUUACAGAGGCGUGAGCCACUGUGCCCGACCUUUAUUUUAUUAUUUUGUUUAUUUUUGAGACAGGAUCUCACUCUGUCACCCAGGCUGGAGUGCAGUGGUGCGAUCAUGGCUCACUGCAGUCUAGACCUUCUGGGCUCAAGUAAUCCUCCUGCAUCAGCCUCCGGAGUAGCUGUGACUACAGGCAUGUAACACCAGGCCUGGCUAAAUUUUUUUAAUUUUUCGUGGACACAGGUUCUCACUAUGUUGCCCAGGCUAGUCUCGAACUCCUGAGCUCAAGCAAUCUUCACACCUUCACCUCCCAAAAUGCUGGGAUUUCAGGUGUGAGCCACCAUGCCUGGCCUGCCACCUCUUAAAUACGCUUGUUUCACCCAAAUUCUUGGGUUUGCUUCUGGGAGAACCCAAACUUCCAGGAACAUAUCCUAUAAAUUAUCCUUACAUAUAUGCAAAAAUGACAUAUAUUUGAUUUAUUAACUCAGCAUUGAUGCAAUAACAAGAGAAUGAAAAUAGUAUAUCAAAAGAAGACUGGUUAAAUACAUUAUGGUACACUCACACAAUGGAAUACUAUGCAGCGGUAUAAAAGAAUGAAAAAGUAAUUUAUGUCUUAAUAUGAACCGAUGUCUGAGAAAUAUUGGUGAAAAAAAGCAAGAUACAGACCAAUAUAAAGUAUGCUACCAUUUGUGUAAAAAAGCUUGUGUGUGUGUAUGUGUGGUGUGUGUGCACACGUGCAUACACUUGCACAUCGCCUGGAAUCUGUCUGAAGGAAACCUCAAAACACAAUCUUGACUACCUUUAAGGAGGUGACUUGAAUAUCUGGAAAGGGAGACUUUUCACUGUACACUUGAAUGCCUUGUGAUUUUUGUACCAUAGACAAGCUUAUCCAUCCAAAAAAUUAAAGUCACAUUGAAAUAAUAAAUGAAUCCAGAAAGGAAGCUUCAUCAUUCCUCAGUGGGCAUCUUUAUUGGGCAUCAGCGCUGGUGUGGAGGAGGUUCCUG